UACGUAGGGUGCGAGCGUUGUCCGGAAUUACUGGGCGUAAAGAGCUCGUAGGUGGUUUGUCGCGUUGUUCGUGAAAACUCACAACUCAAUUGUGGGCGUGCGGGCGAUACGGGCAGACUGGAGUACUGCAGGGGAGACUGGAAUUCCUGGUGUAGCGGUGGAAUGCGCAGAUAUCAGGAGGAACACCGGUGGCGAAGGCGGCCUGCUGGGCAGUUGCUGACACUGAGGCGCGACAGCGUGGGGAGCAAACAGG
rnacentral:rRNA from 1 species